ACUGUUAGCUGUAUAUUCAUUCAAUGCAACGAUAUUUCUUCGAAAGCAGAUCGUGGAUACAUUUUUAUCGUCCACAACCAAAAAUAUUAACAUCUUACCCUCGGCAGAAAUCGAGGACAGAGGGCAGACCGCACCGCGAGGGCAAUUUAGCGUUGGAGCUAAAAGUCAGGGGCUCGAGACCACCUAAAAUUACAUUUAUUUGAAAGCAUUUGUGAGAGCUCGAUUAUGAGUAAAUUAGUCCUUCCUGUCUGUGCAGCGCCUUGGAUUACUUCCAAACACAAAUAUAUUUUUGCUAUAAAUGUUCUGUUUCCAAUCAUUAUGUUUCAGUCAAAAUCCCAUACGCUGCUUUAUGGUGGUGGCAACUGGAGUGUCAAAGCUUAUUCUCCCUUGUGGACAUGCCACUGCUGUUUUAAAGCUCUGUCAGGUAAACUUUUCAUUGGCGUUCUGUUCUCACAUGAUGCACUUUUUCUGAGCUCGUAUCCCCGAAGCGCGCGCACACUCCGGAGCAGAGGGUGGCGGUAAUGCACCUAAUUACGCUGGAUUCCAGCCGCCGUUAAAAACCAAGUAGAAGAAGACGAAGGCAUUGUUGUUGGUUUAUCAACCUUCUGUCAGGAGCCAAGAUGGGCAGAGGAUCACCAAUUCCCCCAAUGCUGCGGCAAAAAAUAGUGGAGCAAUUUCAGAAAGGAACUUCUCGGAGAAAAAUUGCAAAGAGUUUGAAGUUAUCAUCAUCUACAGUGCAUAAUAUAAUUUUAAGAUUCAGAGAAUCUGGAACAAUCUCUGUGCGUAAAGGUCAAGGCCGGAAAAAAAGACUGGAUGCCUUUGAUCUUUGGGCUCUUAGACGGCACUGCAAAGACAGUGAAGGUACAUUUUCUGACAAAGAGGAAGAUGAUUCCAAGGAGGAAGAAAAAUCUCCUCCUCAGAAGAAAUCUUCAACCACAAAGUCUACAAAGAAAUCAGAAAAGUCCGAACAGACUACAUCAGAUGAAAGUGACCAAGACAUUCAUGAAAAUAAGAAUGCAAAAAAGACAAAAAAGAAACCUGCAACAAAGAGGAAAGCUCCAGCAAAGCCUGUCCCAAAAACCAAGAAAGCUGACAGCAGCAGCAACCGAGGGAAAAAGAAAGCAAGCAAGAGCAAGGAUGAAAGUGAAAGCUCUGAUGAUGAUCAGCCAUUGAUCAAGAUGGUUAAAAAAUACCCACCAACUCAAGAACAGUUAAAGGAGACAAUCAAGGAUCUCUUGAAAGAUGCCAACUUGGAGGAAGUUACGAUGAACCAGAUUACCCGAAAAGUGCAUAUUCACUUUUCUGAUCCAUUUUGCAAUUGUAUGUAACCAACUGAAGUCCAGUGAUUUUAAAUGGAUGAAAUCAGUUCCUCUUAAGUCCAUGCAGGAGUCCUAGCACAGGUUCAUGACAAGUAUCCUGACUUUGAUCUGAGCAGCAGAAAGGAAUUCAUCCGGGAGACAGUUAAAGGUUUGAUAUCCUGAAGUGAUGAAAAUGCCUUGUUUAAAAGGACAGUGAGGAUAAAGAUCUUUAUUACUCGAAACUCGAUUUUUAUUACACUGUUCAUUAUUGUGUAGUUAUUAUUUUUAUUUUAUAUAAUGUUUCUCAACUCUCUAGCAAAUUCUACUUUUUUGUAUUUAAAAAAUAUAUAUUUUCUAAAGAUUAUUAUUUAUUUUUUUUACGGUGAAUGAUGUGGAUGGUUUUGGUUGUUGAAACAUGCCACAUUUAGAAAUUGUUUGGCUUGUUAUUGUAUUGCAGAACAAUAUAAUAAUAAUAUUUUGGCAGUGUCAGCUUCCAUUUCAGUGUUAUGCUUUAAUUCUAAUUUGAAAAGAGCAAUUUUUUAAAAAUCUUUUUGCUCUUACUUCUAGAUGAUUUUUUUGUAAAUAUACUUUAUAUGUGCAUUAUUUUUCUUUCUCCUAUUUUUAUGCAAGUUAUAAAGAACAAACGUAUCUCUUAAUUUGACAUAUUACUCAUUACCUGCAGGUCAGUGUCCUGGGUUGACCUCUGUUUUAUACACUGACCUCAGUAACCAGUAUGUCAGUUAUCAUCAGACAUACGGCUCUGUUAUGUGUUACAACAACAACAACAAAAAACAGAAACAAAGAUGUUUAUUUUGAAAUAAAUUUAUUUUUCAUAGAAAAUAA